rnacentral:rRNA from 1 species
GUGGGGAAUAUUGGACAAUGGGCGCAAGCCUGAUCCAGCCAUGCCGCGUGAGUGAUGAAGGCCCUAGGGUUGUAAAGCUCUUUUGUGCGGGAAGAUAAUGACGGUACCGCAAGAAUAAGCCCCGGCUAACUUCGUGCCAGCAGCCGCGGUAAUACGAAGGGGGCUAGCGUUGCUCGGAAUCACUGGGCGUAAAGGGUGCGUAGGCGGGUUUUUAAGUCAGAGGUGAAAUCCUGGAGCUCAACUCCAGAACUGCCUUUGAUACUGAAGAUCUUGAGUUCGGGAGAGGUGAGUGGAACUGCGAGUGUAGAGGUGAAAUUCGUAGAUAUUCGCAAGAACACCAGUGGCGAAGGCGGCUCACUGGCCCGAUACUGACGCUGAGGCACGAAAGCGUGGGGAGCAAACAGGAUUAGAUACCCGAGUAGUCC